AGGUGUAUGAGGUAUUUUAAGCCUAUCAAGUUCUUUGUGUAUGAGGUAUUUUUAAGACUAUCAAGUUCAAGAAUUUCUUAAGCCUAUCAAGUUCUUUGUGUAUGAGGUAUUUUUAAGAGUAUCAAGUUCAACAAUCAAAAUUUAUAAUUCACGUAUAAAUAGGAAUUUAAGGGAGUUUUUUGGAUAUUUCUCUCGAGCAAUUAUUCAAUAGUCAAUUGGUUCCCUGCAUAAUUUUCGUGCUCAAUUUUGAAGAAAAGCAUAGAGUUAUGAUGAGAGAAUCAAUUCAACUUCCCAUAAUCGACCUUACUUCCCCUCAUCCUAUUUCCACCGCUCGAGCAAUUCGUCAGGCAUGUGUAGAUGUUGGUUUCUUUUACCUAAUAAACCAUGGAGUAGAUGAAAAGUUAUUUAAGAAAGUGCUUGAACAGAGCAAAAAGUUUUUCUCACUGCCCCUUGAAGACAAGAUGAAACUGGUACGAAGGAACCACAGAGGAUAUACUCCCCUUUAUGCUGAGAAACUUGAUACCUCUUCUACUACACAAGGUGACUCAAAAGAAAGCUUCUACAUAGGUUCUCUGGAAGGAAAGAGUGUUGUUAGUAACUUGAAUCAGUGGCCGGAAGAAGAAACUCUGCCAAGUUGGAGAUCAACCAUGGAGGAUUACCAUAGAAGAGUCUUGGAUGCAGGUAUAAGACUAAUUUCACUGAUUGCUUUGGCAUUGGAUUUGGACAAGGACUUCUUUCAUAAAGCAGGGGCAUGUGAUUCACCAAAUGGAUUCCUUCGUCUGUUACAUUAUCCAGGCGAGUUGCAGUUAUCUGAACAAGUGGUGUAUGGUGCUUCUGCUCAUUCAGACUAUGGGAUGUUAACUCUUCUAGCUACAGAUGGUGUUGGUGGACUUCAGGUUUGCCGGGAGAAAUUCAACCGACCUCAGAUAUGGGAAGAUGUGCGUCACCUCAGUGGGGCUUUCAUAGUUAACAUUGGAGAUAUGAUGGAGAGGUGGACAAACUGCUUAUUUCGGUCUACAUUGCAUCGAGUUAUGCCAACGGGGCAAGAGCGUUAUUCGAUGAUCUGUGAGAAAUAGUCCCUCAAGUCCUCAUUGCGCAAUCACCAGCUACAUAGGAGGGAAAAAAAAAUUCAUCCCUGCGCUAUUUUGAGGUCACUGGAAAUUUCUGGUGACUGCCCAUAAAGCAGCACACCACAAGGCUCCAAAUCCUCAUGCGGGACAUUACACAAGAAAUUGCACUGCUAUUAGAGCCUCCAGGAGCCUUUGGGCCUCGCAUCACAUUCCUCACACACCGAUGGCUUUCUUUUUGGAUCCAAAUCCAGAUUGUGUGGUGGAAUGCUUGAAGAGCUGCUGUAGUGAUUCAUCUCCUCCCAG